rnacentral:rRNA from 1 species
UGCCAGCCGCCGCGGUAAUACGAAGGGUGCUAGCGUUGUUCGGAAUUACUGGGCGUAAAGCGUACGUAGGCGGAUCAGAAAGUAUAGGGUGAAAUCCCGGGGCUCAACCCCGGAACUGCCUUGUAAACUCCUGGUCUUGAGUUCGAGAGAGGUGAGUGGAAUUCCGAGUGUAGAGGUGAAAUUCGUAGAUAUUCGGAGGAACACCAGUGGCGAAGGCGGCUUUCUGGACCAAUACUGACGCUGAGAUGCGAAAGCGUGGGGAGCGAACAGGAUUAGAUA